UCGAUAAUUGCAUGAUCUACUUUGACUUUGGGUUUCUCCUGUUCCAACCCCUUUAACCCAAAAAAGAGAAUAGCUCAAGUGGUGCUCUUUUCAAAUUGCUUCUUUAUCUCUUUGCCAUCGUAGCUCAUUUGCUCUGAUCUUGGAUAUCUUUUAUCAAAAGGUGAAUUGACUAACCAUUAUUUUUUCAUGUGAUAGCUAUUUGUGUGAUUUUUCCCGCCAAGCAAUCCCUUAUUUUAUAUUUUGGCCGUUCCAAAAUUUUUCCCCACGAGAUUGGUCAUACCUUGAGCAUAGUUUUGUUUCCCACCAUCGCACAAACAUCAUUUGGGUUUACUAGGGAACAUGUCCACCUUUUGCGUUUAAGGAAUUGCAUACAGACGCAUUUUUUUGUUUGUGUGGACUCAUGUUUGGUGCAUUUCUUUACUUCAUGAUAAAAGCGUAUGCUCUAGAGAUUAUCGUAUGUGAUUCAUGUACAAGUUAUUUUAGUAACAACGAAUUUUAUUUUCA